UACGUAGGCAGCAAGCGUUGUUCGGAGUUACUGGGCGUAAAGGGUGCGUAGGCGGUUGUUUAAGUUUGGUGUGAAAUCUCCCGGCUCAACCGGGAGGGUGCGCCGAAUACUGAACGGCUAGAGUGCGGGAGAGGAGAGUGGAAUUCCUGGUGUAGCGGUGAAAAUGCGUAGAGAUCAGGAGGAACACCAAUGGCGAAGGCAACUCUCUGGCUUCACCCUGACGCUGAGGCGCGAAAAGCGUGGGGAGCGAACGGG
rnacentral:rRNA from 1 species